CUUCACCACCGGGGCUGGGAGAAGUGCUGUCCUGCUCAUCCACCCUCCACCCAGGCUGGGCGCCAGCCCAGGCCUCAGUGGGACACCCUGCCCUCUGUCCUGACUCGGUCUUGACAUGUUUUAUUGAGCAUCUGCGGGCUGCUGUGAAGAAAGGGAGUCUGACCCCCAAAAGCAAAGCAGAGGGCGAGGUUAGGGAACGAUGAAGUGCAAACUACAGGAUUCAAAGUUCUCUUACCCCAGGGCUUCCAGCCUAUUCUAAAUGAAACCCGGACAGCCUUGGCCUCUAGCCUGUGCCCAUUUCUCCCCCAGCGGGGGAAGAAGCUAAUUUUUUCGAGCCCUUACUCUCUCCUCUAAAAAAAAUACAAAAAAGGGCUGGGGAUGGGUCAGUGGCGGAGCCCCCUGACUCCCCUCGGCCAGCCCUCGCCUCUGCCUCAAAGCAGACACUGGUCCUGCUCACAGAUGACAACGCGGGGCUCAGCAAGGGGAAGUGACCGGCCUCUGGCUGUGGGUGUGGGGCCAGCGCUGGUGGCCAGGCCUCCCAUGCUCCUCCUAUCCCCCUGCUUUCCUGGGGUCCCUGGUGCACAGGCACCCAUGCCACUUGGGGACCUUCCUCUCUGAGGACUACGGUGUCAGAAGAGAGCGGUCCAAGGAGGGUGGAAAGCAGGGCAAGGCAUAGUCCUCAUCCUCCUGCACGCUGGUCACUCCAAAGCACACCCCUGGACAUACCGAGCCCCCACUUUGCUGCACACAGGGAUGGCCCCGUGCACACUCGCAGUGUCCUUGGGCUGCAAAGACUCCUCCAUAAAGGACUCGGUGGAGCAGGGGCUGCUGGCAGAUGGAUGAAUGGUUCUCGAUCACCAGCGUGAGAGCUCAAUCUCUGGCUGUCACUGCCUCCCGCCCCCAGACAGACACACAAGCACAUGCACACACACGUGCGCGCACACACACUGGAGCUGGCAGCUG
rnacentral:lncRNA from 1 species